rnacentral:tRNA from 2 species
CCCCGGUUGGUGCAGUUGGUUAGCACAUUGUCUUGGUCGACGGUUACCCCCUGUGGUGCCGUACAAACUACUGCUGUUAUGCAAAUACAAAGGUCACGAGUUCAAAUCUUGUACUGGGGA